rnacentral:rRNA from 1 species
ACGAACGCUGGCGGCGUGCUUAACACAUGCAAGUCGAACGGAAAGGCCCUGCUUUUGUGGGGUGCUCGAGUGGCGAACGGGUGAGUAACACGUGAGUAACCUGCCCUUGACUUUGGGAUAACUUCAGGAAACUGGGGCUAAUACCGGAUAGGAGCUCCUGCUGCAUGGUGGGGGUUGGAAAGUUUCGGCGGUUGGGGAUGGACUCGCGGCUUAUCAGCUUGUUGGUGGGGUAGUGGCUUACCAAGGCUUUGACGGGUAGCCGGCCUGAGAGGGUGACCGGCCACAUUGGGACUGAGAUACGGCCCAGACUCCUACGGGAGGCAGCAGUGGGGAUUAUUGCACAAUGGGCGGAAGCCUGAUGCAGCAUCGCCGCGUGCGGGAUGACGGCCUUCGGGUUGUAAACCGCUUUCGCCUGUGACGAAGCGUGAGUGACGGUAAUGGGUAAAGAAGCACCGGCUAACUACGUG